UUCCGGUUGAUCCUGCCGGAGGCCACUGCUAUUAGGGUUCGGCUAAGCCAUGCGAGUGGUGGGCGUCCCGCAAGGGAUGGCCCCGCACACGGCUCAGUAACACGUAGUCAACCUGCCCUCGGGACGGGGACAACGCCGGGAAACUGGCGAUAAUCCCCGAUAGGUGAGGGACGCUGGAAUGCCCCCUCGCCCAAAGCUCCGGCGCCCGAGGAUGGGACUGCGGCCUAUCAGGCUGUUGGUGGUGUAAUGGACCACCAAACCUGCAACGGGUACGGGCGAUGGGAGUCGGAGCCCGGAGAUGGGGACUGAGACAAGGCCCCAGGCCCUACGGGGCGCAGCAGGCGCGAAAACUCCGCAAUGCGCGAAAGCGUGACGGGGGAACCCCAAGUGCCGUUGGUCUUUUGAUCGACGGCUUUUCGGGAGUCUAAGAAGCUCUCGGAAUAAGGGCUGGGCAAGCCUGGUGCCAGCCGCCGCGGUAACACCAGCAGCCCAAGUGGUGGUCGCGAUUAUUGGGCCUAAAGCGCUCGUAGCCGGGCUGGCAAGUCCCUUGUGAAAUCGGGCGGCCUAACCGUUCGGCUUGCAAGGGAUACUGUUGGUCUUGAGGCCGGGAGACGUCUGAGGUACUUUGGGGGUAGCGGUGAAAUGCUGUAAUCCUCGGGGGACCACCAGUGGCGAAGGCGUCAGACGAGAACGGACCUGACGGUGAGGGGCGAAGGCUAGGGGCGCGAACGGGAUUAGAUACCCCGGUAGUCCUAGCUGUAAAGCAUGCGGGCCAGGUGUCUGGUGUUCCUCGAGAGCACUAGGUGCCGGAGGGAAGCCGUUAAGCCCGCCGCCUGGGAAGUACGGCCGCAAGGCUGAACUUAAAGAAAUUGGCGGGGGAGCACCCACAAGGGGUGGAACCUGCGGUUCAAUUGGAUUCAACGCCGG
rnacentral:rRNA from 1 species